AUUGAACGCUGGCGGCAUGCUUUACACAUGCAAGUCGAACGGUAACAGGCCGCAAGGUGCUGACGAGUGGCGAACGGGUGAGUAAUGCAUCGGAACGUGCCCAGUCGUGGGGGAUAACUACUCGAAAGAGUAGCUAAUACCGCAUACGAUCUAUGGAUGAAAGCGGGGGACCGUAAGGCCUCGCGCGAUUGGAGCGGCCGAUGUCAGAUUAGGUAGUUGGUGGGGUAAAGGCUCACCAAGCCAGCGAUCUGUAGCUGGUCUGAGAGGACGACCAGCCACACUGGGACUGAGACACGGCCCAGACUCCUACGGGAGGCAGCAGUGGGGAAUUUUGGACAAUGGGCGCAAGCCUGAUCCAGCAAUGCCGCGUGCAGGAAGAAGGCCUUCGGGUUGUAAACUGCUUUUGUACGGAACGAAACGGCUCUGGUUAAUACCCGGGGCUAAUGACGGUACCGUAAGAAUAAGCACCGGCUAACUACGU
rnacentral:rRNA from 1 species